rnacentral:tRNA from 1 species
GGCAGCAUGGUGCAGUGGUUACAGUUUUGGACUGGAAUGUGGGACACUCAGGUUUUCCAGGUUUUCCGUAGGAGGUUAAGAGCUCGUGUAUCUAAUCUGGAGGAACCGGGUUUGAUUCCCAGCUCUGCCGCCU